rnacentral:rRNA from 1 species
AAUGCCUAGGAAUCUGCCUAGUAGUGGGGGAUAACGUCCGGAAACGGGCGCUAAUACCGCAUACGUCCUACGGGAGAAAGUGGGGGAUCUUCGGACCUCACGCUAUUAGAUGAGCCUAGGUCGGAUUAGCUAGUUGGUGAGGUAAUGGCUCACCAAGGCGACGAUCCGUAACUGGUCUGAGAGGAUGAUCAGUCACACUGGAACUGAGACGCUGUCCAGACUCCUACGGGAGGCAGCAGUGGGGAAUAUUGGACAAUGGGCGAAAGCCUGAUCCAGCCAUGCCGCGUGUGUGAAGAAGGUCUUCGGAUUGUAAAGCACUUUAAGUUGGGAGGAAGGGCAGUUACCUAAUACGUGAUUGUUUUGACGUUACCGACAGAAUAAGCACCGGCUAACUCUGUGCCAGCAGCCGCGGUAAUACAGAGGGUGCAAGCGUUAAUCGGAAUUACUGGGCGUAAAGCGCGCGUAGGUGGUUUGUUAAGUUGGAUGUGAAAGCCCCGGGCUCAACCUGGGAACUGCAUCCAAAACUGGCAAGCUAGAGUAUGGUAGAGGGUGGUGGAAUUUCCUGUGUAGCGGUGAAAUGCGUAGAUAUAGGAAGG